rnacentral:rRNA from 1 species
CCUACGGGUGGCAGCAGUGAGGAAUAUUGGUCAAUGGGCGCGAGCCUGAACCAGCCAAGUCGCGUGAAGGAUGACUGCCCUACGGGUUGUAAACUUCUUUUAUAAAGGAAUAAAGUGAGGCACGUGUGCCUUUUUGUAUGUACUUUAUGAAUAAGGAUCGGCUAACUCCGUGCCAGCAGCCGGGGUAAUACGGAGGAUCCGAGCGUUAUCCGGAUUUAUUGGGUUUAAAGGGAGCGUAGAUGGGUUGUUAAGUCAGUUGUGAAAUGUUUCGGCUCAACCGUAAAAUUGCAAUUGAUACUGGCAGUCUUGAGUACAGUUGAGGUAGGCGGAAUUCGUGGUGUAGCGGUGAAAUGCGUAGAUAUCACGAAGAACACCGAUUGCGAAGGCAGCCUACUAAACUGCCACUGACAUUGAUGCUCGAAAGUGUGGGUAUCAAACAGGAUUAGAUACCCUUGUAGUC